AUGUAUGGUUCUUGCACAGUGCCAUGCUACUGGAGCUCACAGUUUUAUUGUGUUAUCCUAUUGAAGAUGAAAAAAGAGAGGGCUUGAGCUUCCCCAAGUGCUGUGUAUUGGCUUUUACUCUGAGAUGCUCUGAGCAUCUUCUGUAUCUUUCACACACAUAUCUGCAAAUAUGUGAGUGAACUGCCAAAGUGAGCCAAUUCCUCUGUGUCCAAGAUGGACCUGCUGCUGGCCAAAGCUGGGCCCAUCAGAGGUGGUGGUAGCACCUCUGGAAUAACAGAUUUAGGAGAGAGGGAAAACUCUGGUGGCACAGCAGCCAGAGAGAGGAGUGAAAAUAUGUAAGAGAAACCACCCUGCAGACAACAGGGUGGGAGAAGAAUGGGGGAGAAGAGGUGCUCCAUGAGCCAGACUGGAGAUUCCCCUGCAGCCCGUGAUAGGUUUUAAUUCACUGAAUGUUUUAUAAAUGUCAGUGACAACUCCAAAUGUGGCUGGUAAAAAGGGAAAGAGAUAACUGUGAAUUACGUGCUGCCUUGGCCAAGUGAUUCAUUCCAGGGUAGCCAGCAAAGCUGUGCCAAAAGGGAGUAGCAGAGGGAAACUUGCUCAGUAGAUGCCUUGUGUAUAUUUUGGUGUGUGAUAGUGUGCCUUGUCUUCCAAAAUUGUGAGCCCAAGCACAAUGCAAUACUGCAUUAGGUUUUGUG